UGGGGAAUAUUGCACAAUGGGCGCAAGCCUGAUGCAGCCAUGCCGCGUGUUUGAAGAAGGCCUUCGGGUUGUAAAGUACUUUCAGCGGGGAGGAAGGCGAUAAGGUUAAUAACCUUGUCGAUUGACGUUACCCGCAGAAGAAGCACCGGCUAACUCCGUGCCAGCAGCCGCGGUAAUACGGAGGGUGCAAGCGUUAAUCGGAAUUACUGGGCGUAAAGCGCACGCAGGCGGUCUGUCAAGUCGGAUGUGAAAUCCCCGGGCUCAACCUGGGAACUGCAUUCGAAACUGGCAGGCUAGAGUCUUGUAGAGGGGGGUAGAAUUCCAGGUGUAGCGGUGAAAUGCGUAGAGAUCUGGAGGAAUACCGGUGGCGAAGGCGGCCCCCUGGACAAAGACUGACGCUCAGGUGCGAAAGCGUGGGGAGCAAACA
rnacentral:rRNA from 1 species